AUUGAACGCUGGCGGCAAGCCUAACACAUGCAAGUCGUACGAGUGGCGGACGGGUGCGUAAUGUCUUGGAAACUGCCCGAUGGAGGGGGAUACCUACUGGAAACGGUAGCUAAUACCGCAUACCAUCGGAUGUGCCCAGAUGGGAUUAGCUAGGAGGGGGGGUAACGGCUCACCUAGGCGACGAUCCCUAGCGUGUCUGAGAGGAUGACCAGACACACUGGAACUGAGACACGGUCCAGACUCCUACGAGAGGCAGCAGUGGGGAAGAUUGCACAAUGGGCGCAAGCCUGAUGCAGCCAUGCCGCGUGUAUGAAGAAGGCCUUCGGGUUGUAAAGUACUUUCAGCGAGGAGGCGUUACCCGCAGAAGAAGCACCGGCUAACUCCGUGCCAGCAGCCGCGGUAAUAC
rnacentral:rRNA from 1 species